GUCUAUCUCUCUGUCUAUCUGUCAUUAUCUAUUUAUCUAUCUAUCUGUCUAUCUGUCUGUCACUUGUUUCUUUGUUGCAUGGGAUUUGUGCUACUUUCUUCCUAACUUUUUUGUCAAUUUUGUCAGUUGAAAUACACAGGAUUGAUUGGAUAAACAGUAAAUUAAGUUUAGUUUACUAAAAUCAAAACCUAAAUAUUUCACAAACAGAAACAGCAAGUAACACAUUGAAUGAAACGUGGCAUUUUAGCAUUUUCUUGUGAAACGCACUCCAAAUUUUAUAAUAAAAAAUAGAUUUUUCUUGUGUUGUUAUGUUGUUUGCAAAGACUUUUGUCAAAAUACGUUUUAAUAAGUUUUUUGCCCUCAUUAAGGUGUAAUUAUAACAUCUACCAGCAGGGGCUAACUUCUAAAGCGAACCAGCUAAACCUUGCACAUUGCUAAGGUAUUACUACAAACAGUCAUUUUUCUUGAGUCAUCAAACACCACUAAUAUCAGGACUGAGAUGGUGUCAAAUAAUUAUUCAAACAUACACUCUCUUACUCUUCAGCGUUAGCAACUGGCCUCUGUUCAAGCUUUACUCAGAUAGCCAUCUGAAAGACAAGGCCUUUUCCCUGCUGUCCAUGAGAAACAUUUGCAGCAUGAGUGAAUCACGGCAUCAAACACUGAACGCCGGGGUCUUGCGGCUCCCAAGUGAUUUGUUAAGUUCGAGAGUCGCAGUCUGUGUUGGCACAGCAAAAAGUCAUGAUUCCCAACAAAACUGAAAAGAAAAACAAAGUGCACAGUGUGCUGCUAGCCAUUUAGUGCGCACUUCUUCACUGUGAGUUUAAGCCGGAGUAUUUCUAAUGUCGGAGUUGUUUACUAGCUCUUUUCCAAAACUUAGUGCCUUGCUGUUUACUUUCUGCAAAAAUACCUGAUCUGGAGCGCUCUUUGUAAGUGCCACACAAAUAGCAAUCUAUUCACAAAUGAUUACAUUUAAUUAUCUAAAAUGAAUUUUAAAAGAAUAUACAUAAAAAAGCUAUUUUGUAUUUUUAUAAUUAUAUUCUUCUACCAACAUAAGGCAACAUAAUGUUGAAGCCUUUGUGUCAUCUUAUGAUGCUUUAAAAUCAAAGUAGGCAGCUCACUACAUUCAGAGCUACUGCUUCAGUAAAGAGCUUUGUUAUGGGGUGAAUUCAGUUCCUGUGUGCUUACAGGAGUUUGAAGAUGAUGCACUUUUUCCUGAAACUCAUCUACUGAACAAGUGAACAUGUAGGCCAGACUGACAGGAUGCCCUGAAGAGAGAAGCACAUCAAUUUAGAGCCAUGCUGUCAAUCCAGCACUAAACUGGUGCUCCAACAUCCGCUGACCUCCGUUUAUCACCAAGGAUGUGAAAACCUAAUAAAGUAUGAACCGUGGGACCAAUUCUCCUUUCCACCUUUUGUCACAGCCAUGAAAACCCACGCCUGCUAGAACAGCACAUCUGCCCUUAAUAACUGGAAAUCCUUUUCUGUCGCCUGAGUCAUGGAUGCUGGAUUUUCUUCCAUUCCAAGUGCUUGGGAUCCUCUGAAAAAAGGCCACAGAGUGUGUGUGUGUCUGAUUUUGUUACUUGAGGACAGUGUGUGACUCUUCUCUGAAGCUCUAGAGGUGGCUUGUGAUUAUAUUACACUCUUAAAAAUAAAGGUUCUUUUUUGGCAUGAUGCAGAACCUUUAAAAUCCAUAGAAUCUUUCCAUUCCACAAAAGGGAUGGGAUCGGGAAAGGUCCACGAGCUGGGACUCGAACUCGAGCUCAACGGUGAUAUAUGUCGAUGUGCUGCCCACUAGGCUAUCGGCGCCAACAUAGAUAUAUAUGUUUAUUACCGGUUUGUGUUAUGUGCUAUUCCCUUUUCACAGAGUUACCCAAGAUAAAUGUUACUUUGUACAAUCUACAUUCCUGCAAAGAUGACAAAAUGUACUAGCAAUUGCUGUCCUGUGGCAAAAUAAGGGCAAUCAGUGUUGCCAGAUUGUGUCAAUGAUUUCCAGCCCAAAAAUCACCCACUCCAAGAAAAACCCGCCCAAAUCUUUAACUGCCAAAACAAUGUGAUAGAAUUUUUUUGCACAAAAAAAAACAAAAUAAUUAUAACAAAGAAAAAAAUAAAUGAAUAAAAAUUAAAAUUUCCCAGGAAAACGGGUCAAAACAAGUCAAAUACUGUACUUUAAAGAGAAUGAGCAAAUAUGACUAAAAUGUCCAGGUGGAAACUGUCAAAACAGCAAUCAAAAAAUUAACAUUUUGUUUUUAAUUCUUUUUAUAACUUUCAUUUCAUCAUUUUUAUUCUGCCAUAUGCCAUAUUCUGAACCCGCCCAAUCUGGCAACACUGAGGGCAGUUGGGUUUUAGACCAAUCAUGAAAUAGCGACUGAAUGACUCCAUCAGUAAAUAUUGGGAUAUUCUGCUAAUAAAAUGAUCAUGCCAGAAGGAUAGCAUGAGAACUUCUGUAGCUCAAACAGUGGAGCAUGGCGUUGGCGAUACCAAGGUUUGGGUUCGAUUCUCAGGGAAUGCAUGAACUGAUUACAAUGUCUUGAAUACAGUGUAAGUCGCUUUGUAUAAAAGUGUCUGCCAAAUGAUUAAAGUGACUCUAUUAUGCUAUUUUAAUCUCCUACAAUAGAUUUACAUGAAUCCAAGUUCAAAAAACACCUUAAUUUUCUCAUAAUAUACAUUGCAGUAUCACCUAAUUUCUCAAAGCAUCUGAAAACGGUUAGUUCGAAGAUUCUGUCUCUCUAAACCCCUCCUUUCCGAAAGCCUGCUCUGCUCUGAUUGGUCAGAUGCCCCAGUCUGUUGUGAUUGGUCUACUACUUACAGAGCAUGUCGGAAACAAAACGGCUAUAACCAUAUCUGAAUUUCAGCUCCAGAUCAUCCUCAGCACUUGAUACACAGUGAAAUGAAUUAUGCCAUCAGUUUUUCCAUAUCAAUUAGAGCACAAAUCCUCAUGCUUUGGAUGUGCAGCAAAUUGGAUUUGCUUUUGCAGCACAGAAAACAGCGUCUUCUUGACAUGUCAACAACACAAACCAAACUCUUCAGCCCUCAGCUACAGACCAUAGACGGGCAUUAUGCAAAAUUUUUACAUUGUUACACAGGAAGUGAGACUGGAAUUGCUGACGACUCGUUUAGGCAGUUCAGAAUCGAUUCUUUCAUUUGAUCUUUAAAACUUUGCAGACCUUUUACCUUCAUAAACAGCUAUAUUACACACUGCAUGAAAGCUAAUUGAUAUGGUAAUGGACUCUUAUUUUGAUAUUCUGUUCUGAUUCCUUUAGUUCCUGUUUCCCUGCUCUGUUUAGUUUCGGAUUCCCUGAUUUCUGUUUAUGUCCCUGUUUGUUUAUGUGAUUAAUUAUCAUCAGCUGUAUCUUAUUUAGUUCCUGAUUAUGCCCUGCAUAUAUACUCUCUUCAGUUUAGUCCUUUAUUGUCGGUUAUUGUUUAUGUUUGUGGUUGUGUUUCCAAUGUAUUCGUGAAUAAAGAUGAUUCUAGUUUAUUCUCUUUGUCGUGCGAUUGUUACAGCCACCCUUACACUAAUAUAACGGGGCACUAUAAAUGUAAACUUUAUUAUGUUCUUUACUAUAAUCUCAGUAAGCUUUUGUUAUGUUUUACGCAUGCGCAGUAAGAUCAUUUAAGCAUUU